rfam:Changjiang tombus-like virus 3 strain CJLX30495 hypothetical protein 1, hypothetical protein 2, hypothetical protein 3, and hypothetical protein 4 genes, complete cds.
UGGAGAUGGCCGAGGGAUCCCGAGAACGGGCUUGACGGGCGCUGCCAACGCCGACGCAUCACGGCCUGAUACCUA